GUUUCCUACGGGGCGCAGCAGUGAGGAAUAUUGGUCAAUGGGCGAGAGCCUGAACCAGCCAAGUCGCGUGAGGGAGGACGGCCCUACGGGUUGUAAACCUCUUUUGCCGGGGGACAAACGGCGGCACGCGUGCCGUCCUGAGGGUACCCGGAGAAAAAGCAUCGGCUAACUCCGUGCCAGCAGCCGCGGUAAUACGGAGGAUGCGAGCGUUAUCCGGAUUUAUUGGGUUUAAAGGGUGCGCAGGCGGUCUGUUAAGUCAGCGGUCAAAGCCCGGGGCUCAACCCCGGCCCGCCGUUGAAACUGGC
rnacentral:rRNA from 1 species